AGAGCCUGAUUUGCAAAAGUUUAUGAACACACAAGCACCUAUACUCUUCCCUAAAGUGUUUUACACCACACGCAGUGGCUGUGAGCAGCACGUGCAAUGGCAGCAGCAUGGGGAAAACCAGAUCUACUGCUGAUGCAAGCAUGCAUACAAACAGGGAAGACGAAAAAGUCUUCUGUCCUUUUUUUUGCAGUUUUAUUUUUCUUUUAAAAAGGUUUUUGGCACUACAUCGUUCUGUAAAGAAUAGAAGUGACAAAUUUUUAAACACAUGAAAUCCCCUUCUAAUUUUAUUCUUUU